GGCCUUGUGGCGCAACGGUAGCGCGUUCGACUCCAGAGAUAGGCAAGCCUAUCCAGGGUCAUCGAAAGGUUAUCCGUUCAAAUCGGGUCAGGGUCA